rnacentral:lncRNA from 1 species
GUGUCUUCCUGACCAGCUGCUCUGUUCCCAGCUUAGAGGACCAGAGGGAGAAGCCACCUGCUACACGCUGGAUGCUGCAGCCUGUGCCACUGUGGCUCACAUCGCUGUGGUUGGUGGCAGCAACGGAGACUGCAGCCAGCUGGAGUGCUGUGAUGACAGUGCUUAUCAAUCCUGUCCCCGCCACACCACCAACAUACACAGAAAAAAAGCAGGCAAUGAGUUGGCUCCGGGAUGACCUCGUAUGAAGACGUUUCAUUCCUUAGUCUUGGCAAUUGACAUCACAAACUUGGGUACAAGCUACAAAAUUAAGGUUGUCUAGGAACCACAUUUAAAACGUAAAAGAGAGGCAAGGUGCGGUGGCUCAUGCCUGUAAUCCCAGCACUUUGGGAGGCUGAAUUGAGAGGAUCCCUUGAGCCUAUGAAGCUGCAGUGAGCUGUGAUCGCACCACUGCGCUCCAGCCUGGACGACAGAGCGAGACUCUGUCUCAAGAAAAAAAGAAGAAGAAGAAGAAGAAGAAACAGGUAAAAUUAACUUUAGUCUAUUUUACUUAGCCAAUAUAUCUUAAAUAUUGCAUUUCAAUAUGUAUUCAAUAUAAAAAUUAUUUAUGACAUAUUUUGCGUUCUCUAUUUUGUAUUAAAAUUUUAAAAUCCGGUGUGGUUUUAAAGACACAGCUCAUCUGAAUUCAGACUAGCCACACUUCAAAUGCUCAGUAGCCACAUGUGGCUAAUGGCUAUCAUAAUGGACACUGCAACUCUAGAGAUUGAAGGUCUGUGUCUAUAUUUGUACAAGAUGGCACCUAAACACAAGCCAAUUUGUCAUCUGGUGCCUUUCUCCUUCUCCCUGGCUACACACCCCUCACUCCCAAUAAGAUCGUAUGACACCUGAGACUACAGCCCCAGAGAGAAACACUUGGGUUAAUAUUACUGAAUCAUAAAAACAGGAUAGCAGGAACUAUCAUCUUGGAGCAUGAGUCUUGGUAUUUCCAGUCUCAGUGAUUCUAGGCCACACAUAUAAAAGUCUCUUAUUGCCAUCUGGGAAGGCACACACACCAUAUGUUUUGGGCUUAGAUGAAUAAGGCUCAUAAUCCAAUCAUACAUUUUAAAGGACAUUUAUUUGUAAACAUGUUUAAUAUUCACAAAAUAUAUUUCAUCACUUCUAACUCUAUAGAACACUAUAAUAAGCAAACGGCACACACUAAAUGUUCAUUAUACAGCAAGCUAAAAAAAAUUACAACCCUGACCUGAUAGAGAUUAAAUCUAAUCUGAAACAGCCUCUAUCACUGGACAGAGUCACAAAAGGCCAUAUGAGCACAAGCACAGCUGUGCAAACACUGAAAAUGCAUAACUGGAGAGGAACUUGCAUCCCACGCAAGUUGAAAUAGCAGCCACAGAGAAGGGGAAGUGACUUGGAAAUGAAAGCAUUAUCCAUCUGGACCAAAUGGUGAAGCUGUGGGAAGCUGUCAUUUACAUUGGUGAGGAAGGCGUUCACUUCAGAGGGAGAAGAGUCUCCUUAGCUUAAAUUUUUGCUCAAAUAACCCAGCCCUACACAAUAUGGGGUUUUGGCAAUAGCUGUCGUAAAAAUGAAGCUUAAUACAUGAUUUGAGUGGAGGACUUCAAAGUUCUCAACUGUUGUAACCAUUAAGCUCAUCAAUUGACACAAAACUGGAUAUUCAGAAAAAUCCUGGUAAGAAUAGGGAUUUUGGGUUAAAGUAGUAUCAUAAUUAGAGUCCUUUAAGUUCUUAUUGUUUAAAAUCCUUCUAUAAUACAUUCGUCAACUUAUUUUCCUUAAUAUAAAAGGAACUGUCUCUAACUUACAGAUAGGUUAAAAUGUCCCAAAAGUGGAGAUUUUCUUCUUAAUUUGGUGGUUUGUAACUCAGGAUUUAUGUUCUCUAAACGUGUCUUGUUAACACAUAUCUAAUACUAUAGGGCACAAUACUGUAAUGUCAAUGAUAUAUAGUUGCCACAGUAAUAUCAAUUUUAAAGGAAAAGUACAUCCAAUAUGCCCCUUCUCCACACAUUUCCCCAGGCAGUGACAUCUAAAGAUGAACAAGAAAAAUAUACAAGUUUUACUUCUUGAUUUUUGACACCUAUAUAACAACAGGCAUCUUAUUGAUCCAAACACCCUCAGAGAGUGCUCAUGGGAAGUAGGGCUCUGGAAACUGCCUUCUUGAUUCUUGUUUAUAUGUAUGAGUUUAUGGUAACACUCAGAGCAAACAUUCUUUUUUUCUAGGAAAUGGGUUCGUCAUUUUUAGUUCAUCAUUUUUAGCUUUGUCACAUAUAGCAAUGCAGACAUAAAUAGGAGAUUGAACUGAAUAUCAUUUGAUUUUAGAACAGCUCUAGAAACUAAUUCUUUUUAGUUUCUAGUAAAAAAACUAUUUUCUUAUAAUUCUUUAUGACUUGAGCAGCAAAAAACAAAAACAAAAACAAAAACAAAACAAAACCAAAAAUAAGGGGGGGGGGCAGAUUUAUACUAGCUAUAUAAAGUGGCUUCCACUCUAUAAAGUUUUUGUUAAUUGAGAUAUUGCUGAUAAUUCCUAAGAAAAGAACUUAUCUACGCUAAAGGAAAAGGUAUUGUUUUGCUAACCUGUGGCAAUGAUACUGAGAUGAAAGAUUCUUUCCACUCACAUGCCUUGACUAAAUGCCCCAUUCUAGUUCACUAAGCAGACUGAAUGCCAGCCAGGAAUUCUGCCCGUAUCUUAUUAGGAUUCCGAAAGUACUUCUGAAGAAGUGGAAAUAGGAAGGUCCACAUGCCUUGGAAAGUUUUUAACUUUUCUGGAAUACAAAAUAUUUCUUACUCUAACCAAUUAAGUUAUUAAAUUCCACCAUAAUGUUAGCACUACCCUUUAGCAAUUUACUUCAGAGCAAGGAUUGUUUUCUUUCAGCUUAAAUUUUACCUACAUUACAUGGGUUCACUUUUAUAUUAUGCAUCUCCUUAGGAGUUCAACUCAACUGAACAAUUAUGUCCUGAGUGUCUAUUACGAGUACGACAUCCUACAAGGCAUUAAAAAAGUUUGAGGAAAAUCUGAAUAGAAGAAAAGGAAAUGGAGGUCUCCAGCAAAAUCUGCCAAGUGUUUUUAUAAAGUCCCAUCUGAACUUCUUUGGAGUAGACCAAGGUGCAGAAAUCCAUAUCCUCUCCCCACAUUGCAUCCCCUAAAGAGCUUCAAGCAUAGCUGGAAAGCCUUGAAACACAUCUAUUGGAGAGACUUGUCACACUGGACAAAGGCAAGAGCAACUUCUCAGAUGCUGCAAAUGAGGAACCUAUUUGCAAGCCACAGAGGUGGCUAAAACAUGGACACUAGCUUCUGUAGACACAGCUUCUAACACACCUUCAGUGCCUCACCCUCCUCACUAGGUAAAGUGGUGAGCGUUCAUUGAUGAGCUUCAUUUGAUACCCAAGAAAAUCAAGACCUUGAGUCACAUGCUCAAGGUUACACAGCAAAGCAGAGGCAGCUUGAAAACUGGAUUCAGGCCUUCUGAGCCCCUCUAGUAGACCGCACUGCUCCACAGAUGCAGGUAGCUUCUGAGAUCAAAACAUUCUGUUGGGUAAUGAUAACCAAAGUACAGCUCAUGUUUGUUUAUGUAAGGGCCCUGCUCAUUUCUGUGGGGAGAACUCAGCCAGGCCACAGAGCAGUCACAGGGCUUUCCAGACUGCAGAGCUGCCCCAGUGUGCAUGGCAGCUGGUUCCGCAGGAGUUCACCUGCCCACAGAGAUGUUCGGGGUCCUCCGCCUUCCCAUUGGUCUUGGUGUCUGCAUGACGGGCCACUGUGAUCAGACGUGGGGGCAGUAAGCAUGCUGAGCAACGUCUGGGUGUCCUGGGGCAGGGGCGGGGGGCAUUCUGUGGAGGUGACUGCAUCUGGAAAGGGCCCAAGUAGGGAGGGAAAUGGGAAAGGAUGUGCACAGGCAGUCACAGCUGGACUCCGCCUGGGCUUGCCAGGCUCCCUCCUCUGCCUUCUACUGCUACUCCCUACUUGCUUAACCUCUCCAACUUCCUACUAUGCAAUGUUUAAAAACCUGCUCAACAAAACAUCCUUCUUCCUGGAGAAUUUUCCUAACAAAGGGCCCCAUUCAGGCGGGGCUGCUUGGGAGGAAGGGAACUGUUGUCCAAAACCUGGCUCUUGCCACUUUCCACCCUGGCCACAAACAAGACUUUUUUUCACAGCUCUUAAUCUCAGUUUCCUCCCUGGGCAAGCUCCUCACGCAGACACCAAGACCCACUGAGGCAGAAGGGCCUGAACAUUCUAUUAGGGCAGGUGAGCUCCUGCAGAACCAGCUGCCAGGCACACUCCAAUAGAUCUGCUGCCCAGAAAGUCCCAUGGCCACUGUGGCCUGGCUGUGCUCUCCCUGCAGAAAUGAGCAUGGCAUUUACAUGAAAGAUGAAGUAGGAUACUUGAUUUCACUACUCUGAAAUUUUCUUUCCAGUCUGAUCUGCUCUCUUGAACUUCAGAGUCAUGCAUCUCACAGCCUACUUGGCACCUCCACAUGGAUAAAGAUGCAUCUCAACUCACCAUGUCCAAAGCACGUGCCCCCAACUACAAGCAAAUCCCUCAACACACUCCCUGCCCCUCCCACAGAUCUUCCUCACCUGUCAGUGCCUCUGUCCACAAUGCUCCCCUAGACUGCCGCAAGGACUGCACCUCAGCUGCUGGAGUCCUUCCGCAAUGUCACCACCUCAGUGAGGCUUCCCACCAAUCUAUUUACAAUUGCAGUUUCUCCCCAGCACUUCCUACCCACUGCCCUGCUUUCUCUUCCUUCACAGCACUGACGAUCAUCUGACAUUUUGUAUACUUUACUUGUUUGGUUCACUGUCAUUCUCUCCCAAGGUAGGAGUUGGAGAUCCCAC